CCUACGGGUGGCAGCAGUGGGGAAUAUUGGACAAUGGGCGAAAGCCUGAUCCAGCCAUGCCGCGUGUGUGAAGAAGGCCUUCGGGUUGUAAAGCACUUUCAGUGGGGAAGAAAGCCUUGGGGCUAAUACCCUCGAGGAAGGACAUCACCCACAGAAGAAGCACCGGCUAACUCCGUGCCAGCAGCCGCGGUAAUACGGAGGGUGCGAGCGUUAAUCGGAAUUACUGGGCGUAAAGCGCGCGUAGGCGGUCUGAUAAGCCGGUUGUGAAAGCCCCGGGCUCAACCUGGGAACGGCAUCCAGAACUGUCAGGCUAGAGUGCAGGAGAGGAAGGUAGAAUUCCCGGUGUAGCGGUGAAAUGCGUAGAGAUCGGGAGGAAUACCAGUGGCGAAGGCGGCCUUCUGGACUGACACUGACGCUGAGGUGCGAAAGCGUGGGUAGCAAACAGGAUUAGAUACCCUGGUAGUC
rnacentral:rRNA from 1 species